rnacentral:rRNA from 1 species
AGUUCGGAUUGUAGUCUGCAACCCGACUACAUGAAGCCGGAAUCGCUAGUAAUCGCGGAUCAGAAUGCCGCGGUGAAUACGUUCCCGGGUCUUGUACACACCGCCCGUCACACCAUGGGAGUCGGGAAUGCCCGAAGUCAGUGACCCAACCUUAGGGAGGGAGCUGCCGAAGGCAGGCCUGGUGACUGGGGUGAAGUCGUAACAAGGUAAC